rnacentral:rRNA from 1 species
UACGAGGGGGGCAAGCGUUGUUCGGAAUUAUUGGGCGUAAAGGGCGCGUAGGCGGUGCGGUAAGUCACCUGUGAAAACUCUGGGCUCAACUCAGAGCCUGCAGGCGAAACUGCCGUGCUUGAGUGUGGGAGAGGUGCGUGGAAUUCCCGGCGUAGCGGUGAAAUGCGUAGAUAUCGGGAGGAACACCUGUGGCGAAAGCGGCGCACUGGACCACAACUGACGCUGAGGCGCGAAAGCUAGGGGAGCAAACAGG